rnacentral:lncRNA from 1 species
AAAAUAACAUUAUAUAUAAAAGAAUGAGCUAAGCUAGUAUACUAUUGGUAGCACGAAGGUCUUUUUGCUACUAAGUUGUUUUAAAUAUUACGGCUUCUAAAUCGACGAUCGGCUCCGUUAAACUUAAUCUAGACUAUUAAAAGUAUUGAAAAAUUAAAUUUCAUAAAUUUUCGACAUUAUUUACCUAUCAAACGAAUAGUCAAAAAAUGAACGGCUGAAAAUAAAAAUUUCAUAAAAAAUAAUGAAAAAAUACUUGAAUUUAAGAUCAGAGGACUGAUCUUACUCUAAAUAGUGAAAAGAAUUUUUUAUAAAAAUUUUAUCAGAUUUGGAUAAUUUUAUACCGUUAAAUUCACAAACGCAUCACAUUGACCAUUAAAAUUGUCAAUUUUGAAAUCUUUUGAUCACUAGCCAAAUGAUGUCGAAAAAUUAUGAAAUUUAGUUUCCAAAUACUUUUAAUAGUGUAGAUCAAGUUUAACGGAGCCGAUCAUCGAUUUGGAAGCCGUAUCAUGAAAAACAAUUUGAUAGUACAAAGGCCUCCGUGCUACCAAUACCGAUAGUAUACCAAUAUAGCUCUAAAAGAAUUAUGGUAAAAAUUAAUUUUAUUAGCAAUAAAU